ensembl:misc_RNA Metazoa_SRP Metazoan signal recognition particle RNA
GCCGGGCGCGGUGGCGCGUGCCUGUAAUCCAGCUACUCCUGGAGGCUGAGUCUGGCGGAUCGCUUGAGCUCAGGAGUUCGGGGCUGCUGUGGGCUAUGCCGAUCGGGUGUCCGCACUAAGUUCGGCAUCAAUAUGGCGAGCCCCGGGGAGCCGAGGCGCGCCAGGUUGCCCAAGGAGGGGUGAACCGGCCCAGGUCGGAAACGGAGCAGGUCAAAACUCCCGUGCCGAUCAGUAGUGGGACCGCGCCUGUGAAUAGCCGCUGCAGCCUCGCCUGGGCAACACAGCGAAACCCAGACUCUU